CGAAGGAAAGAUCGCUGUGAAACUCAUCAGAAUAACAAUAUAACUCAUUAUCUAUGUUGCUCAACGUUUAUUCAUAAAUCUGGUGGUUUCACCGUCACAUGCAUGUAUUGUAUUUUUACCAAAUCCACCAAUAGCAAUUUCCAGUUCCCUAUUCGAAUCACGGAUAGGUGACUUUCCUAAGACAUUGCUAUUGGUUAUAUUUGGGCAAAAAUACAAUACACACGUGACGGAGAAACGACCAGAUUUAUGAAUAAACGUUGAGCAACAUAGAUAAUGAGUUAUAUUGUUAUUCUAAUGAGUUCCACAGCCAUCUUCCCUUCG